UGGGGAAUAUUGCACAAUGGGCGCAAGCCUGAUGCAGCCAUGCCGCGUGUGUGAAGAAGGCCUCGGGUUGUAAAGCACUUUCAGCGAGGAGGAAGGUGGUGAACUUAAUACGUUCAUCAAUUGACGUUACUCGCAGAAGAAGCACCGGCUAACUCCGUGCCAGCAGCCGCGGUAAUACGGAGGGUGCAAGCGUUAAUCGGAAUUACUGGGCGUAAAGCGCACGCAGGCGGUUUGUUAAGUCAGAUGUGAAAUCCCCGGGCUCAACCUGGGAACUGCAUUUGAAACUGGCAAGCUAGAGUCUCGUAGAGGGGGUAGAAUUCCAGGUGUAGCGGUGAAAUGCGUAGAGAUCUGGAGGAAUACCGGUGGCGAAGGCGGCCCCCUGGACGAAGACUGACGCUCAGGUGCGAAAGCGUGGGGAGCAAACAGGUUAGAUACCCUGGUAGUCACGCUGUAAACGAUGUCGAUUUUGGAGGUUGUGCCCUUGAGGCGUGGCUUCCGGAGCUAACGCGUUAAAUCGACCGCCUGGGGAGUACGGCC
rnacentral:rRNA from 1 species